GACCCGGGAGAGUCCGCCGCAGGCGGCGCCGAAGGGGAUCGCAAAAGCUCUCAGGCAAAAGGAUCGGGU
rnacentral:ncRNA from 1 species